GACGAACGCUGGCGGCGCGCUUAACACAUGCAAGUCGAACGGAAAGGCCUGCUUUCCCUUGUGGAUUGCGGGUACUCGAGUGGCGAACGGGUGAGUAACACGUGAGUGAUCUGCCCCCAACUUGGGUAUAAGCCUGGGAAACUGGGUCUAAUUCCCGAUAGGACUGCAGGGUGGUGCCUGUGGUGGAAAACGAUUUUCUAGUGGUUGGGGAUGAGCUCGCGGCCUAUCAGCUUGUUGGUGGGGUAAUGGCCUACCAAGGCGGCGACGGGUAGCCGGCCUGAGAGGGUGGACGGCCACAUUGGGACUGAGAUACGGCCCAGACUCCUACGGGAGGCAGCAGUGGGGAAUAUUGCACAAUGGGCGGAAGCCUGAGGCAGCGACGCCGCGUGGGGGAUGACGGCCUUCGGAUUGUAAACUCCUUUCGACCGCGAGGAAGCCACCUGGUUGGAAGGGUGGUGACGGUAGUGGUAGAAGAAGCACCGGCUAACUACGUG
rnacentral:rRNA from 1 species